rnacentral:rRNA from 1 species
CCUACGGGAUGCAGCAGUGAGGAAUAUUGGUCAAUGGGCGCUAGCCUGAACCAGCCAAGUAGCGUGAAGGAUGACUGCCCUAUGGGUUGUAAACUUCUUUUAUAUGGGAAUAAAGUGCAGUAUGUAUACUGCUUUGCAUGUACCUUAUGAAUAAGGAUCGUCUAACUCCGUGCCAGCAGCCGCGGUAAUACGGAGGAUCCGAGCGUUAUCCGGAUUUAUUGGGUUUAAAGGGAGCGUAGGCGGGUUGUUAAGUCAGUUGGGAAAGUUUGCGGCUCAACCGUAAAAUUGCAGUUGAUACUGGCAUCCUUGAGUACAGUAGAGGUAGGCGGAAUUCGUGGUGUAGCGGUGAAAGGCUUAGAUAUCACGAAGAACUCCGAUUGCGAAGGCAGCCUGCUGGACUGUAACUGACGCUGAUGCUCGAAAGUGUGGGUAUCAAACAGGAUUAGAUACCCUAGUAGUC